GACGAACGCUGGCGGCGUGCUUAACACAUGCAAGUCGAACGGGAUUUAGUAAACGGAAGCCUCGGUGGAAGAUUACUAAUGAGAGUGGCGAACGGGUGAGUAACGCGUGAGCAACCUGCCUAUGACAGUGGGAUAGCCUCGUGAAACCGGGAUUAAUACCGCAUAAAAUCGUAGAAACACAUGUGUCAACGGUCAAAGAUUUAUCGGUCAUAGAUGGGCGCGCGUCUGAUUAGCUAGUUGGUGAGAUAACAGCCCACCAAGGCGACGAUCAGUAGCCGGUCUGAGAGGAUGGACGGCCACAUUGGAGCGGAGCCACAGUAGAAACUCCUACGGGAGGCAGCAGUGGGGAAUAUUGCACAAUGGGGGAAACCAUGAUGCAGCGACGCCGCGUGAACGAAGAAGGUAUUCGUAUCGUAAAGUUCUGUCAUAUGGGAAGAUAAUGACAGUACCAUAGAAGAAAGCCCCGGCUAACUACGUG
rnacentral:rRNA from 1 species